rnacentral:lncRNA from 1 species
AGGGAAAGAAGAAUGAAAAGGGCUUGCUAAAGGGAGAAGUGAGGGGAAAGUGUUUAUAGUGUGCUUGUGUUCUGGUCUGGGUUUGUGAAGAAAAAAAAAAAAUCAGCUUGGAUCACUCAACGUCAAACAGGAGGAGUGAAAGUAUGAGGUAAGUGAGAUAAAGAUUGUGUACCUUUGUCUUUGUCUCAAGAGGUAUUUAUAGGAGGAUGUGAAGAUUUUUGAGGAGUAAGGACAUUAAUGGCCAAAAUUGUAACUACAUAAACAUCUGCUAGGCUUCUAUCUAUGUCCAUGUCCUUGUCGGAGUAGCUGCCUCGUCUAGCCGUUGCUGGCUUGGUAAAGAAGUUUUGACCGUAUGUUGACCUGUUAAUUGAGCUAAGUUCGUGAUGGAUUAGGUUUAGGCCGAGCCAAAAAUACAAAACACGAUUCAUUUAUUUUAAUUAUUAUAUGGAAUAUAGAAUAGAUAUAUAAAAUUAUAGGUAGCAAUGUUGUGUUGCCUUCUGUAAUAAAAAAUGCUGUUCUCUAUUAAAAAAAGAAGAUUACUUGUUGAAUGGUUUGCGGGGCAAUGUUCUAUGUAUGGAUAUUCAAACACACGAAGCAUACGCGGUUUGUUUUGUGGAUAA